rnacentral:rRNA from 2 species
UAGGGAAUCUUCCACAAUGGACGCAAGUCUGAUGGAGCAACGCCGCGUGAGUGAAGAAGGUUUUCGGAUCGUAAAGCUCUGUUGUUGGUGAAGAAGGAUAGAGGCAGUAACUGGUCUUUAUUUGACGGUAAUCAACCAGAAGGUCACGGCUAACUACGUGCCAGCAGCCGCGGUAAUACGUAGGUGGCAAGCGUUGUCCGGAUUUAUUGGGCGUAAAGCGAGCGCAGGCGGAAUGAUAAGUCUGAUGUGAAAGCCCACGGCUCAACCGUGGAACUGCAUCGGAAACUGUCAUUCUUGAGUGCAGAAGAGGAGAGUGGAAUUCCAUGUGUAGCGGUGGAAUGCGUAGAUAUAUGGAAGAACACCAGUGGCGAAGGCGGCUCUCUGGUCUGCAACUGACGCUGAGGCUCGAAAGCAUGGGUAGCGAACAGG